UCCCUGGUGGCUCAGAGGGUAAAGCAUCUGCCUGCAAUGCGGGAGACCCGGGUUCGAUCCCUGGGUCGGGAA
rnacentral:tRNA from 1 species